UACGUAGGGUCCAAGCGUUAUCCGGAAUCACUGGGCGUAAAGCGUUCGUAGGCGGGUAUUUAAGUGAGAUGUGAAAGCGUGUGGCUCAACCAUAUCGUUGUGUCUCAUACUGGGUACCUGGAGGAAGGCAGAGGCAAGUGGAAUUGGCAGUGUAGCAGUGAAAUGCGUAGAGAUUGCCAGGAACACCAAUGGCGAAGGCAGCUUGCUGGGCCUUUCUGACGCUGAGGAACGAAAGCGUGGGAGCGAACAGG
rnacentral:rRNA from 1 species